AAGUCGGACGGACACCUUCGGGUGUCAGUGGCGGACGGGUGAGUAACGCGUAGGAAUCUACCCCUAGGAGGGGGAUAACAGCUGGAAACGGCUGCUAAUACCCCAUACAGGCGCGAGCUGAAAGGAGCAAUCCGCCCAGGGAUGAGCCUGCGUCGGAUUAGCUAGUUGGUGGGGUAAUGGCCUACCAAGGCGACGAUCCGUAGCGGGUCUGAGAGGAUGGCCCGCCACACUGGGACUGAGACACGGCCCAGACUCCUACGGGAGGCAGCAGUGAGGAAUAUUGCUCAAUGGGUGAAAGCCUGAAGCAGCAACGCCGCGUGGGCGAUGAAGGUCUUCGGAUUGUAAAGCCCUUUUGUAGGGGACGAA
rnacentral:rRNA from 1 species